rnacentral:rRNA from 1 species
GACGAACGCUGGCGGCGUGCUUAACACAUGCAAGUCGAACGGAAAGGCCCUGCUUUUGUGGGGUGCUCGAGUGGCGAACGGGUGAGUAACACGUGAGUAACCUGCCCUUGACUUUGGGAUAACUUCAGGAAACUGGGGCUAAUACCGGAUAGGAUCUCCUGCUCCAUGGUGGGGGUUGGAAAUUUUCGGCGGUUGGGGAUGGACUCGCGGCUUAUCAGCUUGUUGGUGGGGUAGUGGCUUACCAAGGCUUUGACGGGUAGCCGGCCUGGGAGGGUGACCGGGCACAUGGGGACUGCGAUACGGCCCAGACUGCUACGGGAGGCAGCAGUGGGGAAUAUUGUACAAUGGGAGGAAGCCUGAUGCAGCAACGCCGCGUGCGGGAUGACGGCCUUCGGGUUGUAAACAGCUUUAGCCUGUGACGAAGCGUGAGUGACGGUAAUGGGUAAAGAAGCACCGGCUAACUACGUG